UACGUAGGGUGCAAGCGUUAAUCGGAAUUACUGGGCGUAAAGCGUGCGCAGGCGGUUUUGUAAGUCUGAUGUGAAAUCCCCGGGCUCAACCUGGGAAUUGCAUUGGAGACUGCAAGGCUAGAAUCUGGCAGGGGGGUAGAAUUCCACGUGUAGCAGUGAAAUGCGUAGAGAUGUGGAGGAACACCGAUGGCGAAGGCAGCCCCCUGGGUCAAGAUUGACGCUCAUGCACGAAAGCGUGGGGAGCAAACAGG
rnacentral:rRNA from 1 species